AUUGAACGCUAGCGGCAGGCCUAACACAUGCAAGUCGAACGAGUGGCGGACGGGUGCGUAAUGUCUGGGAAACUACCUGCGAGGGGGGGAUAACUACUGGAAACGGUAGCUAAUCCCGCAUACCAUCGGAUGUGCCAAGAUGGGAUUAGCUAGUAGGUGGGGUCAACGCUCCCCUAGGCGACGAUCCCUAGCUGGUCUGAGAGGAUGACCAGCAACACUGGAACUGGUACACGUGCCAGACUCCUACGGGAGGCAGCAGUGGUGAAUAUGGCACAAUGGGCGCAAUCCUGAUGCAGCCAUGCCGCGUGUAUGAAGAAGGCCUUCGGGUUUUAAAGUACUUUCAGCGGGGAGGCGUUACCCGCAGAAGAAGCACCGGCUAACUCCGUGCCAGCCGCCGCGGUAAUAC
rnacentral:rRNA from 1 species